rnacentral:rRNA from 1 species
UACGUAGGGUGCAAGCGUUGUCCGGAAUCAUUGGGCGUAAAGAGCGUGUAGGCGGUUCGGUAAGUCGGCUGUGAAAGUCCAGGGCUCAACCCUGGGAUGCCGGUCGAUACUGCCGGACUAGAGUUCGGAAGAGGCGAGUGGAAUUCCCGGUGUAGCGGUGAAUGCGCAGGUAUCGGGAGGAACACCUAUGGCGAAGGCAGCUCGCUGGGACGUUACUGACGCUGAGACGCGAAAGCGUGGGGAGCAAACAGG